rnacentral:rRNA from 1 species
UAAGGAAUAUUGGACAAUGGAGGCAACUCUGAUCCAGCCAUGCCGCGUGAAGGAAUAAGGCCCUAUGGGUUGUAAACUUCUUUUAGACGGGACAAAACCCCUUUACGUGUAAAGGGUUGAUGGUACUGUCAGAAUAAGCAUCGGCUAACUUCGUGCCAGCAGCCGCGGUAAUACGAAGGAUGCAAGCGUUAUCCGGAAUUAUUGGGUUUAAAGGGUGCGUAGGCGGACUAAUAAGUCAGUGGUGAAAGCCUGCAGCUUAACUGCAGAAUUGCCAUUGAUACUGUUAGUCUUGAGUACAGUUGAGGUAGGCGGAAUGUGUCAUGUAGCGGUGAAAUGCUUAGAUAUGACACAGAACACCAAUUGCGAAGGCAGCUUGCUAAGCUGUAACUGACGCUGAGGCACGAAAGCGUGGGGAGCAAACA